CUCCAGUUUUCUCUUGGCUCUUUCUAAGUCCAUGCGAAGUUUCUUUUCUUGUUCCAGAGAUCCUUCAAGCUAAAUUUAUGAUGCAUUUUAUUUAUUUCAGCUCUUAAGCAUAUGGGAACUUCAUGUGAUGUUAUGGUAUCCGGUUGUUGAACAUACCAUAAUUCUUAUCCACCAGAAGCAGACAUAUUCAAAACCAGGAUGCCACAAAUAAAUUAAAAUCAUGACACAUAGAAAUAUGGAAAUUACAUGACUCUGAAAGAUAGAAACGCAGCUCCCUUCUGCCGAUCAGCGUGUAAAAUCAAAAGCAAGUUAGUUACUUCCUUGAUACAAUGGAGGUACAUGGAUUGGGUAAGUAUAUCUGUUCCAAACAGGAGAAAUCGGCCAAAAAAUGGGGGCUACUGGUCCCAUGCAAGUCUGAAAUCCAAUAGGGCAGGAAUUAAAUCUUAAAGCUUUGAAAUAAUCUCUUUUGACUCCAUGUCUCACAGAUAUAAGUGAGACUUAUAUCAGGUCAUGCUGAUAUAAGUGGUAGGCCCCCAUGGCUUUAGGCAGCUUUGCCCCCAUGGCUUUGCAGGAUACAGCCUGCCACCUGGCUGCAUUCAUGGCUUGGCAUUGAGUGUCUGCAGCUUUUCCAGGGGCAUGGUGCAAGCUGUUGGUGGAUCUACCAUUCUGGGGUCUGGAGGACAAUGGCCCUCUUCUCACAGCUCCACUAGGCAGUGCCCCAGUGGGAACUCUGUGUGGGCUCUGCACCCCCAUUUCCUUU
rnacentral:lncRNA from 1 species